CGGUUAGUUUGUCGUCGUCACCUUCCACGAUCACAGCAUCUUCUAGGCUUUCCAAGCGAAGUCGUGUUCUAAAAUAGAAAGAAGGAACAACUUUAAUUUGGGGAAAUCUAUUGUGCAAUGGGCAAACGUUAUAAGAUAUAUAAGUUACUUGAUUGAAUUAAAUGUUAAAUCAUUUGUUAAAAAUAUUGCCUGAAUUUGUUAAGAAAAUGUCAAAACGAAAGCUCUCGUGGUCCUAGGAGAGGAAGAAGAACUUUCUAUUGUGACAUUUGAUACAUUGGAAUUAACUAAGUUCUUGACUGACUUUAUGUUAAUAAAAAGAUGAUUUCUUGCAUUUUUUUUUCCAAGUGUUGCAAUUCACAAAUAUCAAAGAUACAACAGUUUAAAAAAAAAAAGUUGAAACAAUUGAACUUUUUUUAUUUUAAAGUCCCGCAUCUCUACAUAAUUUCUCAAUAGUUGACUGUAAAACGAGUGUGAAAGGAAAAGAAGAGAAAGAAAGAAAGUAGAUGUGUGACCGCGUUUGGUCACAUUUCAAUGGUUCUCGAGACCCUUCCUUUGAUUUCGUAUGCCUCAUUCUCGUUCCACGGAAUGCGUCAUCUUCGAAGAAUAAACCAGGAUCGUUGUCCAACUCUCUCAUCAGCCUCGUGUCCGAUUUUAUCGCGCGCACGCGUCAUCGUUCGAGCAAAUUACACGAGAUCCAUCGAUGGUUACGAGAGAAUUGGUGAAGGAAAAGGAGGUGAGAGAGAAAGACGCCGGUGUCAAAGCAACCGCGAGUAACGUGCGCGCAACCUUUUACGUGCACAGGUAUUUUCAGUUUAGCAAGAGCGGUGAGGAUAUCGCGAUUGAGCCAUCGCUGUGUAAUCCAUAGUACAAUGCGGCGGGGACGUCGCGGAACGAGGCAGAAC